rnacentral:rRNA from 1 species
GUUAAUUUACUUGUCACAGCCUGAUCUUGCCAGAUCUCAGACUAAGCAGGGCUGGGCCUGGUUAGUACUUGGAUAGGAGACCAUUGGGAAUACGAGGAAGACA